rnacentral:rRNA from 1 species
AUUGAACGCUGGCGGCAGGCCUAACACAUGCAAGUCGAGCGAGCGGCGGCCGGGUGAGUAAUGUAUGGGGACUGCCCGAUAGAGGGGGGUAACUCCUGGAAACGGUGGCUAAUACCGCAUACUGUCGCAUAACCCAUAUGGGAUUAGCUCGUAGGUAAGGUAAUGGCUUACCUAGGCGACGAUCCCUAUCUGGUCUGAGAGGAUGAUCAGCCACACUGGGAAUGGGAAACGGCCCAGAAUCCUACGGAGGCAGGAGUGGGGAAAUUUGCACAAUGGGGGCAAGCCUGAUGGAGCCAAGCCGCGUGGAAGAAGAAGGCCCUAGGGUUGUAAAGUACUUUCAGUCGGGAGGCGUUACCGACAGAAGAAGCACCGGCUAACUCCGUGCCAGCAGCCGCGGUAAUUC